UACGGAGGGGGCAAGCGUUAUUCGGAAUUAUUGGGCGUAAAGGGCGCGUAGGCGGCUAGAUGUGUCAAAGGUGAAAUCCCUCGGCUCAACUGAGGAACUGCCUUUGAAACUGUCUGGCUUGAGGCCGGGAGGGGGUAGCGGAAUUCCCAGUGUAGCGGUGAAAUGCGUAGAUAUUGGGAGGAACACCAGUGGCGAAGGCGGCUACCUGGACCGGUUCUGACGCUGAGGCGCGAAAGCGUGGGGAGCAAACAGG
rnacentral:rRNA from 1 species